UGCUACAUUAUCGCUGAGUCGUGCACAUACUUUUUUUUAUUCCAUUUCUUAAAUUAUUAUUAGCAUAUAUGUCAAAUAAAACAUGCACAAAAGAUAUUUUCAAUAUUAUGGAAAAUGCAUGUAUUAAUAUAAACUUUUUUAUUAUUAUUAUUUAUACAUCUUAAGCGCUUUUCGUUCCCUUUUUUAUUCAUACCCCGUACAAAGUUUUAUUGGUUAUAUGUAUUAUUUUAUUUUGAACAUGCCUACAGGUUACAUUGUGUUAACUCAUAUUUAAAUGUAGUGUUACAUUGUGUUACAUCAUCUUUAAAUAUAGGUUACAAUGUGUUACAUCAUAUUUACUGGUUGGUUUAAAUUGUGUUACAUCACAUUUACAGGUUAGUUUAAAUUGUGUUACAUCAUAAUUACAGGUUAGUUUAAAUUGUGUUACACCAUAUUUACUGGUUAGUUUAAAUUGUGUUACAUCGUAUUUACAGGUUUAAAUUGUGUUACAUCAUCGUUUAAAUGUUAGGUUACAUUGUGUUACAUCAUAUUUACAGUUUAGUUUACUUUGUGUUACAUCAUAUUAACAGGUUAGUUUAAAUUGUGUUACAUCAUAAUUACAGGAUAGUUUAAAUUAUGUUACAUCAUAUUUAUCGGUUAGUUUAAAUUGUGUCACAUCAUAAUUACGGGAUAGUUUAAAUUGUGUUACAUCAUAUUAACAGGUUUGUUUAAAUUGUGUUACAUCAUAUUUACAGGUUAGUUUAAAUAAAGCACCCCUACAUCUUUGGGUUCUUUUAUGUUAUUUAAUUUCCAUUGAUGGCAAUGUGGCUAAUCCUAUUUCAGAUACACAAAACUAUAAAAUAUACACAAAACAAUAAAGCCACAGUAGUAGAAUAAAUGAACAACUGUUGUGUGUCUGUUCAGGGAAUCAUUUUCUGAGAAGUAAACUGUAACGUCUCGUUUUCCAUUUUUGCAAAAUGGUCAAUCACUCUGGACAUACAUGGAAAUAUUACAGUAACUGUUAUACAGUUGACCAGUGGUUCCCAACUGCUGGGUCGUGACAUAAAAGUGGAUUGUGUGUCAUUUUCAGUGAGUCGCAGUCAGAUGUGUGCAAGAAAAAGAAAAAAAGUUUAGGGAGAAAAAAAUCAAAUUGUGGCAACAAAACCAGAUAUUUUUAGCCAUUUUUCUAGUGACUAUUAGUGAGUAUUUUAGCAAAAGGCAAAGCGACUAACAAGUUGGAGGAGGACUCAGGCCAGACAUGGAAAUAUAUUUUUAAAAAAUCUAAAUGGGGCAACAAAACCCGAUAUUUUCAGCCAUCUUUCUGAAAACAAAUAGAGAAAUGUUACUAUUUUUUCUGGAAACAAAACCAGAUGCUUUAACUGUAGCCAUUUUUCUGGUGACAAAACAAGAUUAUUUUAGUCAAAGUCACACAGAUUAACAAGACAAGUCUACUGUGCUAUUUUUCUGUGAAAUAAACUUGAAUGAUUUAAAAAAUUUGGCUCACAUCAUAUUUACAGGUUAGUUUAUAUCAUGUUACAUCAUAUAUACAGGUUAGUUUAAAUUAUGUUACAUCAUAUUUACAGGUUAGUUUAAAUCAUGUUACAUCAUAUAUACAGGUUAGUUUAAAUUGUGUUACAUCAUAUAUGCAGGUUAGUUUAAAUUGUGUUACAUCAUAUUUACAGGUUAGUUUAAAUUGUGUUACAUCAUAUUUACAGGUUAGUUUAAAUUAUGUUACAUCAUAUUUACAGGUUAGUUUAAAUCAUGUUACAUCAUAUUUACAGGUUAGUUUAAAUUAUGUUACAUCAUAUUUACAGGUUAGUUUAAAUUAUGUUACAUCAUAUUUACAGGUUAGUUUAAAUCAUGUUACAUCAUAUUUACAGGUUAGUUUAAAUCAUGUUACAUCAUAUAUACAGGUUAGUUUAAAUUGUGUUACAUCAUAUAUGCAGGUUAGUUUAAAUUGUGUUACAUCAUAUUUACAGGUUAGUUUAAAUUGUGUUACAUCAUAUUUACAGGAUAGUUUAAAUUGUGUUACAUCAUAUUUACAGGUUAGUUUAAAUUAUGUUACAUCAUAUUUACAGGUUAGUUUAAAUUGUGUUACAUCAUACAUACAGGUUAGUUUAAAUUGUGUUACAUCAUAUUUACAGGUUAGUUUAAAUUGUGUUACAUCAUAUUUACCGGUUAGUUUAAAUUGUGUUACAUCAUAUUUACCGGUUAGUUUAAAUUGUGUUUUAUCAUAUUUACGGGAUAGUUUAAAUUGUGUUACAUCAUCUUUAAAUGUUAGGUUACAUUGUGUUACAUCAUAAUUACUGGUUAGUUUAAAUGUUGUUAUAUCAUAUUUACAGGUUAGUUAAAAUUUUGUUACAUCAUAUAUACAGGUUCGUUUAAAUUGUGUUACAUCAUAUUUAAAUGUUUAAUUUACUUUGUGUUCCAUCAUGAUUACAAGUUAGUUUAAAUUGUGUUGCAUCAUAUAUACUGGUUAGUUUAAAUUGUGUUACAUCAUAUUUACUGGAUAAUUUAAAUUGUGUUACAUCAUAUUUAAAUUUUAGGUUACAUUGUGUUACAUCAUAUUUACUGGUUAGUUUAAAUUGUGUUACAUCAUAUUUACAGGUUAGUUUAAAUUGUGUAACAUCAUAUUCACAGUUUAGUUUAAAUUGUGUUCCAUCAUAAUUACUGGAUAAUUUAAAUUGUGUUACAUAUUGUUUAAAUUUUAGGUUACAUUGUGUUACAUCAUAUUUACUGGUUAGUCUAAAUUGUGUUACGUCAUAUUUACUGGUUUGUUUCAAUUGUGUUGUAUCAUAUUUACUGGUUAAUAAUAAUAAAACCGUACUCCUUCACAUGUAUUUGUUUUGUUUUUAUUUUUAAAAAAAUACACACAUGUAAAAGACAACUAUGUACAAAUACAUUCAGUAAUAUUACAAAAAUUCACAAGUUCCAGCGAUGACACUGCUUCGUUUUCCUGAGAGUGACGCACCAAAACAUCUUGCCGACUCAACAAUCCUGAAAGCGGUCUCAGGAAAUCAGUACGUCGAAGCUCGUAUCGUAGAAGGGAUAGCCAAAUUCGUCAUUCAUGGGCACGAAUUCCGAGCUCAGCGUGGUGUACUGCAGGUCGUCUCCUUCGUCGACUGUUCGCACGGACUGGGCACUGUCUGAAGGAGAGAAAAAAAACCGCAAAAAACUAUUAUAACUCCACUCAUGUGGGAAAAUCUAAGCAAUUAAAUGAAAUCAGAAUGUUUUUUUGGGGGACACCUGUUGGCCACAAUAAUUAUUUUCGUUAACUCCUGACGCUGUAAGUUGAAUGAUGCGGACACGUUUGUUACUGGACACUUUCUAAUUUGUAGGUAAUAUGCAACAGUCAUUAUUUGAUACUUGUUUAUAUUGACAAAUGUGCUGUUUUAUUGUUCGAUGAUGAUUACGUAUGUUUAGCUUGUGUGCUACUGUGUGCUUAGCUGUUGUGUAGCCGCUAGCAUGUUUACCUCAUGCAAAUGACCGCGUAAGAUGCGACUUGGUUAUUAUGACAAAUACGUUGUUUUAGACUGCAAUA